rnacentral:rRNA from 1 species
AGGUAUAAACUACACGAAACUGCGUGAGCUAAUCAUCAUCAUAUACUAUUAUGUAACAUAAUAAUAACGUGAAUGAUGAUUAGGGGUGAUAGGCUUCCCAAAUGCAGGGAUAUCUUGAUUCUUAUAAGAUGUAAUAGUACAAAGACAGAUUAAAAGUUAUAAGGCUUUUAAUAAUAAUUAAAUUCAGUUAAUAUAAUAAGCGGGUUUAAUAGCCUGCAUAUAUAAUUUUAUAAUAUUUAUGAUGAAUUAAUUAUUUAAACUACUAAGACUCAAUUAACCUGAAUAUUUGAUAAUAAUGUUUUUAUGAGUAUUUUAAAGUUAUUAAUAGUGAAUUCGGCAUUUUGCUUUCAACUGUUUACCAAAAACAUAGCUGCGUGAAAUAUACGUGGUAAGUUCUGCUCAAUGAUACAUUAAAUAGCCGCAGUACCCUGACUGUGCAAAGGUAGCGUAAUCAUUUGUCUCUUAAUUGGAGUCCCGUAUGAAGGAAUUAAUGAGGGCAAUCUUUACCAUUAAUAAGUAAAAAAAUUCCUUAGUGGGUGCAAAUUCCCAUAUUUUAAAUAAUAGACGAGAAGACCCUAGAAAUUUAUAUAAAUGUUUUGUUGGGGCAACAUAGUAGCAUGUAAUCUACUAUAUAUAUAUGACAUAUUAUAGAAAAAUCAAAUUACUCUAGGGAUAACAGCAUAAUCUAUAAAUGUUUGUGACCUCGAUGUUGGAUUAGGGAGUUGUUGUUUAGA